rnacentral:lncRNA from 1 species
AUAGGCAAUACAAUGAUUAUUACAUCACAAAAUUAACAAGUGAUCAGACUUUUGUCUUAUUUUCCUUGGAAGCAUGAAAUGGUCAAUCUAUUCGCUGUAGGCAUUAUAAAUAAUUACUUUCGCAGUGAAUGUCCAAAAUUAAGCUUCAUUGAAAUGAGAUUCAAAAUGCUAUGGAGAACUCUGUGGGGGCAUCAUGGGCAUAUGUAAUGGAGAAGAAAGUAAGAUAGUUGAGGCAUGUAGAGUAAGCAUCUGAAGAGGCUCUGGUAAGAUUGCUUCUUGGUUAUGUCAUUAAAUUAUGGUUGAAAUAUGCUCUUAUUUCUAGAUUAUAAUUUUAUCCGUCAUCUUCAGAUUCUUCAUGUAAUAAAAAGUGCAACAUACACCACACCACCCCCC